UACGUAGGGGGGCAAGCGUUGUCCGGAAUCAUUGGGCGUAAAGAGCGUGUAGGCGGCCCGGUAAGUCCGCUGUGAAAGUCCAGGGCUCAACCCUGGGAUGCCGGUGGAUACUGUCGGGCUCGAGUCCGGAAGAGGAGAAUGGAAUUCCUGGUGUAGCGGUGAAAUGCGCAGAUAUCAGGAAGAACACCCGUGGCGAAGGCGGUUCUCUGGGACGGUACUGACGCUGAGACGCGAAAGCGUGGGGGCGAACAGG
rnacentral:rRNA from 1 species